GACGAACGCUGGCGGCGUGCUUAACACAUGCAAGUCGAACGAUGAACUGGAGCUUGCUCCAGGGAUUAGUGGCGAACGGGUGAGUAACACGUGAGUAACCUGCCCUUGACUCUGGGAUAAGCGCUAGAAAUGGCGUCUAAUACCGGAUACGAGCUUCAGCCGCAUGGCUAGGAGUUGGAAAGAAUUUUGGUCAAGGAUGGACUCGCGGCCUAUCAGCUAGUUGGUGAGGUAAUGGCUCACCAAGGCGACGACGGGUAGCCGGCCUGAGAGGGUGACCGGCCACACUGGGACUGAGACACGGCCCAGACUCCUACGGGAGGCAGCAGUGGGGAAUAUUGCACAAUGGGCGAAAGCCUGAUGCAGCAACGCCGCGUGAGGGAUGACGGCCUUCGGGUUGUAAACCUCUUUUAGUAGGGAAGAAGCGAAAGUGACGGUACCUGCAGAAAAAGCACCGGCUAACUACGUGCCAGCCGCCGCGGUAA
rnacentral:rRNA from 1 species